rnacentral:rRNA from 1 species
GAUGAACGCUAGCUACAGGCUUAACACAUGCAAGUCGAGGGGCAUCACAGUGUAGCAAUACACGGGUGGCGACCGGCGCACGGGUGCGUAACACGUAUCCAAUCUGCCCGUUACUCGGGGAUAGCCUUCUGAAAGGAAGAUUAAUACCCGAUGGCAUGUAUUUCCGGCAUCGGAGAUACAUUAAAGAUUAAUCGGUAACGGAUGAGGAUGCGUACGAUUAGCUGGUUGGCGGGGUAACGGCCCACCAAGGCGACGAUCGUUAGGGGUUCUGAGAGGAAGGUCCCCCACAAUGGAACUGAGACACGGUCCAGACUCCUACGGGAGGCAGCAGUGAGGAAUAUUGGUGAAUGGGCGCGAGCCUGAACCAGCCAAGUAGCGUGAAGGAUGACUGCCCUACGGGUUGUAAACUUCUUUUGUUUGGGAAUAAAUGAUACUACGUGUAGUAUUUUGCAUGUACCUUACGAAUAAGCAUCGGCUAAUUCCGUGCCAGCAGCCGCCGUAAUAC